CUAAACAUAGAAAAUAAUAUGUUCAUUCACCACCACAAUCAAAGUAAAACUAACGGGUUCCAGUUGAAAAUGCAACAACAACAACAGUAGAGAUUUCAUGUUUAACUCAAUCUAAACCAGUUCCAGUUGAAAAUGCAACAACAUCAAUAGUAGAGAUUUCAUGUUUAAUGCAAUUUAAACCAAAACUCAAUAUCUUAUUUUGUAUCACCAAUUAAAGGAGUAAUAAGAGAAUGAAGAGAUGGACCUUAAUGGCAAAAGUUUGGUUCAGAUUAGAGGAACUUCGGGCUUACAGUUUUGUCCAAAUGAAAAGCGGCAUCAUUCAACAACAAAAAUCGAUUAUCAACCGAAAAAAUCAGCAGAAAUGCGAAUCGAAAGUCGGACAGAAUUCAUCGGCACCAUGACUCUCGAAUGGAGACUUCGACUCGAAUCGGCGAGCAAACAAGGACUCGACCAAAUCGCCGGAUACUCGAAGCCGACUCAAGAAACUCACCAAGCUCCGAUGGCUUUACAUGGCUGAAACAGAGCUUGAACGUUUGGACUGGUUAUCGGCUGGAGUUCGG
rnacentral:lncRNA from 1 species